rnacentral:rRNA from 1 species
UGGGGGAUAUUGCACAAUGGGCGAAAGCCUGAUGCAGCGACGCCGCGUGGGGGAUGAAGGCUUUCGGGUUGUAAACCUCUUUCGCUAUCGAACAAGGCCCGCUUAGGGUGGGUUGAGGGUAGGUGGAGAAGAAGCGCCGGCUAACUACGUGCCAGCAGCCGCGGUAAUACGUAGGGCGCGAGCGGUGUCCGGAAUUAUUGGGCGUAAAGGGCUUGUAGGCGGCUUGUUGCGCCUGCUGUGAAAACGCGGGGCUUAACUUCGGGCGUGCAGUGGGUACGGGCAGGCUUGAGUGUUGUAGGGGUGACUGGAAUUCCAGGUGUAGCGGUGGAAUGCGCAGAUAUCUGGAGGAACACCGAUGGCGCAGGCGGGUCACUGGGGCAUUACUGCCGCUGAGGAGCGAAAGCAUGGGUAGCGAACAGG